GAUGAACGCUGGCGGCGUGCCUAAUACAUGCAAGUCGAGCGAAUGAUGAGGAGCUUGCUCCUCUGAUUUAGCGGCGGACGGGUGAGUAACACGUGGGUAAUCUGCCUGUAAGACGGGGAUAACUCCGGGAAACCGGGGCUAAUACCGGAUAACAAGAGGAAAUGCAUAUUUCCUUUUUGAAAGUCGGUUUACGCUGACACUUACAGAUGAGCCCGCGGCGCAUUAGCUAGUUGGUGAGGUAAUGGCCCACCAAGGCGACGAUGCGUAGCCGACCGGAGAGAGUGACCGGCCACACUGGGACUGAGACACGGCCGAGACUCCGACGGGAGGCAGCAGUAGGGAAUCUUCGGCAAGGGGCGAAAGCCUGACCGAGCAACGCCGCGUGGGCGAUGAAGGCCUUCGGGUCGUAAGGCUCUGUUGUUAGGGAAGAACAAGUAUGAGAGUAACUGCUCGUACCUAGACGGUACCUAACCAGAAAGCCACGGCUAACUACGUGCCAGCAGCCGCCGUAACAC
rnacentral:rRNA from 1 species